GAGAAUUGGGGUGGGGCGCGCCAAGAGGAGCAAGCAUUAUAGAACGUGGGGAGCAUGAGAAAUACACGGAGGUGGAAACGCCGGAGUGGCUGGCGGGUAAAGGCAGCGGGCGCAGAUGAAGCGGGCUGGGCGUCCCACGCGCAGAACCGUCCCGGACAGAAGCCGCAGGGCUGCGCUGGCUGGAAAAAGGAACGCGAGUACAGCGCGCGUGGCGCGGGGUCUGCUCCAGGACGGAAUCUUUUGGGUGGCCCGCAUGAGGGGUUUGCAGGACCCCGGGCCUUUGGGAAGUUAUCUGCUAAACUCCAGUAGACCCUGAGGAGCAGCGGCUCAUGAAUCUUCUUAAACUUCUGUCAUCAGCGGCUGGGCCAGCUGAAGGUGACCAUGGCACACGAGGGAGAGAGAAGCCCGCGAGAGGCGGAGAAAUGUGGGGUCGUCCAGGAGGGUCGACAAGGCAAAGAACCUGAAGACGACCCAAAAGGGUACCUAGAGUUGAACUUCCUCUCUUUUUAGAAGAAUGGAUUUCUCGGAGUCUGAAAAAUUUAUGGUUCUUCUCUGGAAGAAUUUUAUUUUAAAGAGGCGGCGAUGUAUUGCUUUAGUUGUGGAAAUGGUCCUCACAUUUCUGUUUAGUGCUGCGCUUUUGGCAACACGCUCUGUUAUUACUAUAAAUAAGAACGGACCUUUCGAUUUUGCUGCUCAGCCUGUCGAUGAAGUGCCUUUCUACAUCACAGCUUCCUUAAUUUCUCCUUCUCCUUUGGAAUUGGCUUACGUGCCUUCCAGAAGUACUGUGGUUCAGGGUAUUAUUGAAAGAGUGAAAAUGGAUUUAAACCCUCAAAUGAAAGGUUAGAAAUUAACAUUUUCUGAAAAAACAUACAGAAUUACUAAAUCGAUUUAGUGAAGACAUACUUACAACCUUAUUAACUGGUUCUUAACCUCCCAAGUAAAACAUCGUUGGAAUCCUCAUACUAAGUAUAAAUAUUAUGGACUUUGUUAAACUUGAAAGUUAAAUUUAUAUAAAAUAUUUUGUUCAUAGAGCCCAGAACAAAUAGUAAUAUUUCAAAAUGAGAUGACCAAUUAUUAUUAUUAUUCUAAGUUGUUAUCCAGUUUUGUGAUACUGUUUUUUCUAUCUGGUUGUGCUUCUUGAACCUGGGUAAGUAUACCUCCAGGGGUGUGUGAUUUUGUGCCACAGGUCAGUGGUCAGUUAUUUAAAAUAAUGUUUUAUAUUAAAAUGUGGUGUGAGUAAUAUAGGAAGGCUUUAGAAAACACUUAAGCUAUGUAGAAUUAUUUUAAAAGCCCUCAGUCUCUCACUUACCUUCAUAUUCCCGGAUCAGUUUCUUACCUCUUUCUCUUAGAGGUAAAUACUGUGAGAAGUUUAGGUCGGCCGGGCCCAGUGGCUCACGCCUGUAAUCCCAGCAUUUUGGGAGGCUGAGGUGGGCAGAUCACCUGAGGUCAGGAGUUCAAGACCAGCCUGGCCAACAUGGCAAAACCCCAUCUCUACUAAAAAUAUAAGAAUUAGCCAGACAUGGUGGUAUGCACCUAUAGUCCCAGCUACUUGGGAGGCUGAGGCAUGCGAAUUGCUUGAACCCAGGAGGAGGAGGAGGUUGCAGUGAGGUGAAAUUGCACCACUGCACUCCAGCCUGGGUGACAGACCAAGACUCUGUCUCAAAAAAAAAAAAAAAAAAGUUUGUGGGCAUCUCCCUAGCACACCUCUCUCUACACAUGUGCGUGCAUGUGCACACACACACACACACACACACACACACACAGUCAGGCAACUUUUCCAUCUUUUUUUGUCUUUCAAGAGAUAUGAGAGUCCUUGAGAGUAGAUGCCAUCUCAAAGCAUUCUUUUUUGUUGUUUGCUUUUUUUUAUCAAAGCAUUCUUUAAAAUAAAGACUGAAACAGGAGAAUAUGAAGUUCCCAGUAAUUUUUAAAUUCUACAACAAAAAUAUCUCAACAAAUUUAAAGUCUAUUAUGGGUUACUCCAAUAGUCGCUUUGGGUUACUCAAAAUAUUUUCUGAUUUCCACUCUGAUGUCUUCUUUGAUGCAUGGAAUUUCAAAAUUUUUAGAAAUGUGUUGCUGAACUUCCAAACACUGGGGGCUUCUUAUCUUUCUGUUGUUGAUUUCUGUUUUAAUUUCCUUUCAUCAGAGAGUAUACUCAAUUCCAGUUCUUUGACAUUUUGAGAACUGUUUAUGACUAGUACAUGGUAUAUUUUGAUAAAUGUUUUCUGUGAAUUUGUAAAAACUAUGUGUGCUAUAGGUUUUGCUUCUGGUGUUCUAUAAAUGCCACCUGGGCAAAGUUGGCUAAGU